rnacentral:sRNA from 1 species
AGCCGAGUGCCGCGCGCUGUGCGGCAGCGGGAGAACCAAUUUUUGGGGUGUAUCCGUUUUCAAACGGUAGGGGACCUUCUUCCCCGAACCCGUCAGCUAAUCUCGUAGGCGUGGAA